rnacentral:rRNA from 1 species
GACAGAGGGUGCAAUCGUUGCUCGGAAUUACUGGGCGUAAAGCGCGUGUAGGUGGAUUGGUGUGUCAGAUGUGAAAUCCCUGGGCUCAACCCAGGAACUGCACCUGAAACUACCAGUCUUGAGUGGUGGAGAGGGAAGUGGAAUUCCUGGUGUAGAGGUGAAAUUCGUAGAUAUCAGGAGGAACACCGGUGGCGAAGGCGGCUUCCUGGACACCAACUGACGCUGAGACGCGAAAGCGUGGGGAGCAAACAGG